CCUUAGGAGGAACGGGUCCAAGGAAAGAGCGCCUUCUGGAACUGUCAAGCCUUCAUUUGGCAGCUCAGUGACUGGCUUGGUCUACUUGUGAGCUGAAAGGCAGCCUGCAACCUAGGACGGCACAGACAGAGCUGCUUCUGGCAAGGUGCCAUGGCUAGCUGUCCACAGAAGUGGCUGAGGAUUUGAGGUAAGGCCGGAGAGCGGCA